rnacentral:lncRNA from 7 species
GCGUGGCGCCCUCACAGCGCUCUGAGGAAGUGGAAAAUUAUAUUGGAUAUCUGUGAAAAUGAAGAUAUAAUCUUACCACUCCUUCAUAUAAACAGGAGUCCAAGCUUUGGCACUAGCAGAACACACUAGAGAACAGUAAGUGCUGCUAUGGUUAGUGAUGAAAGGAAAAGCUUCUGAGAUCCAGGCUUCUUUGAACCAAGCAAGUCUGAGGAUUCACCAGGGACAGGAAACUGGGGGUUUUUCUUCUGCAUCACUUUUCCUCAAAAAUUAAUUUGCAACAGAAUAGCAAAUACUGAGCUAGACAGAGUCCAGUACUCCAACUUUUCCUUAACUGAGAAUCAAAUAAUUAAAGACAUUUUUCAAGCUCUUGUACCAAUUAACUAAUCCUCAGUGUUGCACCGAGGAGGAAGGUACGAGAGGUAAUUGUACAAAAGACUUGGGAAUCCAGGAUAAGAUUCACUCUGUGGAGCACGGACAGAAAGUAUGAAUGAGCUUAAAGGGCUCAAAUAGCUGGGGAAGAAAAGAAAAAAGGUGAAUCAACUAAGAAGGCAGAGGACAAUGAAAAGUGAUGUAAAAGGGAAAAUGUAAAUGUGCCUUUACAGUCAGGACCUUGCAGGGAAUAGCAGAGGGAACUCAUAAAGGCAAGGAAGAUGAAAGGAAAAGGAAAGCAGCUGCCAAGCCUUCCCCCCUGUGAAUGCCAUGUCUCGGUUAGGUACGAAAUAAAACUUCACCUUUCUUCGCUGAUACAUCAACGAGUUCCUCCUGGAGAGACAACAGGCACAAACACUGCCACAGUGUUGUCUGCUGUUUAUUCUCAGUGUGAGCAUGACUUCUCAUCUCCCUGGAACCACCACCAACUGACAAGGUUCCUAGGAGAAUUCUGGCAGAAAUGUUUUUGCAGACAUCAACUGCAGAGCCCAUAGCUGCUGCUGUGCACAAAGGCAGCUAUCAGUGUUAUCCCAGGAUGAGAGGACAGGCAGGUCUUUUCCUGAGGCACUUGAAUUCAAGUCCUACUUGACUGAUUUCCCUUCUCCUCAGAGAAAGGCCACUCAGCUGCUAAUGAAGGAGCAAGCCUCAAGAUUUUGCUUUAGUAACUCCUUGGCAAGUCAGCUCCAACUAAAAACAUUAUACAGUGAGUGUUCAGCACAUCUGCCAUCUUGACUGCAAAGAGUGAGUGUUUACACUUCAGGUUUCAUUUUGGAAAAUAUUCCACUGUCACAAUAAAGCUAUUGCUU